GAUGAACGCUAGCGGCAGGCUUAACACAUGCAAGUCGAGGGGCAGCACUGGUAGCAAUACCUGGUGGCGACCGGCGCAAGGGUGCGUAACGCGUGAGCAACAUGCCCGUAUCAGGGGAAUAAUCCAGGGAAACUUGGUCUAAUACCCCAUAGUAAAUAUUCAAGGCAUCUUUAAUAUUUUAAAGCUUCGGUGGAUACGGAUUGGCUCGCGUGACAUUAGCUAGAUGGUAAGGUAACGGCUUACCAUGGCUACGAUGUCUAGGGGUACUGAGAAGAAGAUCCCCCACGCUGGACCUGAGACACGGGCCAGACUCAUACGGGAGGCAGCAGUGAGGAAGAUUGGACACUGGAUGGAAAUUUGAUCCAGCCAUGCCGCGUGCAGGAAGACGGCCCUAUGGGUUGUAAACUGCUUUUAUAUGGGAGCAAUAAGGCCUACGUGUAGGUUUAUGAGAGUACCAUAUGAAUAAGCACCGGCUAACUCCGUGCCAGCCGCCGCGGUAAGAC
rnacentral:rRNA from 1 species